AAUUCUCAACUGUUAUCAACUUUUGCUGAUAAUGGCUUGGAUGUGGGGGUCUAUUUUGCUGGCUUCUUCUCAGAUAGUCAGCUCCCCUUAAAUGCAUUAGCUGGUGCCCCGCGUGGACUGUCUAUUGGUGUGAUAAUUAUCUACGCUAUGGACAUCUGCAAUCAUAUGGGUUUGCGCUGCUUCUAACAGUCUGUUGAUUCAGACAAUACAUGACA
rnacentral:misc_RNA from 2 species